CCAGACUCCUACGGGAGGCAGCAGUGGGGAAUAUUGCACAAUGGGGGAAACCCUGAUGCAGCGACGCCGCGUGAGUGAAGAAGUAUUUCGGUAUGUAAAGCUCUAUCAGCAGGGAAGAAAAUGACGGUACCUGACCAAGAAGCCCCGGCUAACUACGUGCCAGCAGCCGCGGUAAUACGUAGGGGGCAAGCGUUAUCCGGAUUUACUGGGUGUAAAGGGAGCGUAGACGGUUGUGCAAGUCAGAAGUGAAAGCCCGUGGCUCAACCGCGGGACUGCUUUGGAAACUGUGGAACUGGAGUGCAGGAGAGGUAAGCGGAAUUCCUGGUGUAGCGGUGAAAUGCGUAGAUAUCAGGAGGAACACCAGUGGCGAAGGCGGCUUACUGGACUGUAACUGACGUUGAGGCUCGAAAGCGUGGGGAGCAAACAGGAUUAGAUACCCGGGUAC
rnacentral:rRNA from 1 species